UACGUAGGGGGCAAGCGUUGUCCGGAUUUAUUGGGCGUAAAGAGCGUGUAGGCGGCCAGACAGGUCCGUUGUGAAAACUGGAGGCUCAACCUCCAGACGUCGAUGGAAACCGUCUGGCUAGAGUCCGGAAGAGGAGACUGGAAUUUACGGUGUAGCGGUGAAAUGCGUAGAUAUCGUAAGGAAGACCAGUGGCGAAGGCGGGUCUCUGGACAGUUCCUGACGCUGAGGCACGAAGGCCAGGGGAGCAAACGGG
rnacentral:rRNA from 1 species